rnacentral:rRNA from 1 species
GAAAGCGAUGCUAAUACCGGAUAAUAUCUUAAAAACCUCGGUUUUAAAGAUCAAAGGUGGCCUCUACAUGUAAGCUACUGUUUGAGGAUGAGCCCGCGUACCAUUAGCUUGUUGGUAGGGUAAUGGCCCACCAAGGCUGCGAUGGUUAGCUGGUCUGAGAGGAUGAUCAGCCACACUGGAACUGACACACGGUCCAGACUCCUACGGGAGGCAGCAGUGAGGAAUUUUGCGCAAUGGGGGAAACCCUGACGCAGCAACGCCGCGUGAGUGAUGAAGGCUUUAGGGUCGUAAAGCUCUGUCAAGUGGGAAGAACCCACAUGGUGAUAAUACCGCCAUGUGCUGACGGUACCACUGAAGGAAGCACCGGCUAACUCCGUGCCAGCAGCCGCGGUAAUACGGGGGGUGCAAGCGUUAUUCGGAAUUACUGGGCGUAAAGAGCGCGUAGGCGGUCUCUUAAGUCGGGGUGUGAAAGCCCNGGGGCUCACCCCCGGAAGUGCACUCGAAACUAAGGGACUUGAGUAUGGG